rnacentral:rRNA from 1 species
GAUGAACGCUGGCGGCGCGCCUAACACAUGCAAGUCGAACGGCACCCCUCUCCGGAGGGAAGCGAGUGGCGAACGGCUGAGUAACACGUGGAGAACCUGCCCCCUCCCCCGGGAUAGCCGCCCGAAAGGACGGGUAAUACCGGAUACCCCGGGGUGCCGCAUGGCACCCCGGCUAAAGCCCCGACGGGAGGGGAUGGCUCCGCGGCCCAUCAGGUAGACGGCGGGGUGACGGCCCACCGUGCCGACAACGGGUAGCCGGGCUGAGAGACCGACCGGCCAGAUUGGGACUGAGACACGGCCCAGACUCCUACGGGAGGCAGCAGUGGGGAAUCUUGCGCAAUGGGGGGAACCCUGACGCAGCGACGCCGCGUGCGGGACGGAGGCCUUCGGGUCGUAAACCGCUUUCAGCAGGGAAGAGUCAAGACU